CUUGCGCUAGUAAAAAUAAUAAGGUGUAGAACAUAACAUUCUCGCUUUUCUCUUAAAAGUAAUGUAGCCUCAAUUUAAUAAAUGAUCUAACAACAAAUAAUAACUAAUCAUAAGACUAAACAAGGGCCUAGAUAAGAUACCAUUUGUAAGCACCCUUCAUAAAAUAAAUCUUUGGGUUUACAUAUGUGGCAAGUAAAUACACAAAUCAAACUUAACAAAAAAAAAAAUACUAAAUAUAAAAAUCACCGGACCCUGCUUAUUCAAAUUCUACAGAGAAAAUAUUCUAUGGGUACUUAUAACAAAAACGAUGUCGAACUCAUCCAGUGGCUCCAAAAUUUGCCUGAGGAAGGUGAGCAGACCACGUUUGCGAAGAAAACUCUGUUCUUCAUACAUUUCGGCGGUAACUCGAGUCAUCGACAUUGGGACUAACAUCCGAUGCAGCCAAUGUUCGCUGUGAACAAUAUGUUAUUAUUAGAAGAAAAAACGUACUAUAAACAAUAAAUCAUAGAUUAAUUAAAGAGUAGUACAGUAACCCACGAGUAUAAAAAAGGGGCGUAAAAUCACUUGCCAAGACGUGUCAAUUAAGAUAGCUACAUUUAUUUCAGUCGAUUGGUGGGGCGAUUCCGCCCAUGGUUACUUGUAAUAAUAACGUUAUAAUAUUUCUUGUUGUUAUUAUAUUUUUAUACAAAAUUGGAAUAUUUUCUAAAACAUACUUUUUGUAGCAUGAACUGUUUUUGAGAUAGUAAAUAAAUAGGCGUUAUUUAUGCUCUCUAAUGUUUUAUGGCUAUUGUAAUAUGUUUCGACGUCACAUCAGCUAGCCAAAAUAGCUGAUCGUUUAAUUUUUUAUUGUUUGAACAAUACUGUAAAUUCGUGUUUUUUACUAAGUAAUAAACAAACAUUUAAAUCAG